rnacentral:rRNA from 1 species
UACGGGGGGGGCAAGCGUUGUUCGGAAUUACUGGGCGUAAAGGCUCGUAGGCGGCCAACUAAGUCGGACGUGAAAUCCCUCGGCUCAACCGGGGAACUGCGUCCGAUACUGGAUGGCUUGAGUUCGGGAGAGGGAUGCGGAAUUCCAGGUGUAGCGGUGAAAUGCGUAGAUAUCUGGAGGAACACCGGUGGCGAAGGCGGCAUCCUGGACCGACACUGACGCUGAGGAGCGAAAGCCAGGGGAGCAAAGCGGG